UCGACAAAAUGCAGGCAAUGA
ensembl:piRNA 21ur-4953 ncRNA